rnacentral:rRNA from 1 species
CUCCUUUGACGUUAGCGGCGGACGGGUGAGUAACACGUGGAUAACCUACCUAUAAGACUGGGAUAACUUCGGGAAACCGGAGCUAAUACCGGAUAAGAUUUUGAACCGCAUGGUUCAAUAGUGAAAGACGGCCUUGCUGUCACUUAUAGAUGGAUCCGCGCCGUAUUAGCUAGUUGGUAAGGUAACGGCUUACCAAGGCAACGAUACGUAGCCGACCUGAGAGGGUGAUCGGCCACACUGGAACUGAGACACGGUCCAGACUCCUACGGGAGGCAGCAGUAGGGAAUCUUCCGCAAUGGGCGAAAGCCUGACGGAGCAACGCCGCGUGAGUGAUGAAGGUCUUCGGAUCGUAAAACUCUGUUAUCAGGGAAGAACAAACGUGUAAGUAACUGUGCACGUCUUGACGGUACCUGAUCAGAAAGCCACGGCUAACUACGUGCCAGCAGCCGCGGUAAUACGUAGGUGGCAAGCGUUAUCCGGAAUUAUUGGGCGUAAAGCGCGCGUAGGCGGUUUUUUAAGUCUGAUGUGAAAGCCCACGGCUCAACCGUGGAGGGUCAUUGGAAACUGGAAAACUUGAGUGCAGAAGAGGAAAGUGGAAUUCCAUGUGUAGCGGUGAAAUGCGCAGAGAUAUGGAGGAACACCAGUGGCGAAGGCGACUUUCUGGUCUGUAACUGACGCUGAUGUGCGAAAGCGUGGGGAUCAAACAGGAUUAGAUACCCUGGUAGUCCACGCCGUAAACGAUGAGUGCUAAGUGUUAGGGGGUUUCCGCCCCUUUAGUGC